UACGGGGGGGGCAAGCGUUGCUCGGAAUCACUGGGCGUAAAGCGCACGUAGGCGGAUUGUUAAGUCAGGGGUGAAAUCCUGGAGCUCAACUCCAGAACUGCCUUUGAUACUGGCGAUCUCGAGUCCGGGAGAGGUGAGUGGAACUGCGAGUGUAGAGGUGAAAUUCGUAGAUAUUCGCAAGAACACCCGUGGCGAAGGCGGUUC
rnacentral:rRNA from 1 species